UACGUAGGGUGCAAGCGUUAAUCGGAAUUACUGGGCGUAAAGCGUGCGCAGGCGGUUGUGCAAGACCGAUGUGAAAUCCCCGGGCUUAACCUGGGAAUGGCAUUGGUGACUGCACGGCUAGAGUGUGUCAGAGGGGGGUAGAAUUCCACGUGUAGCAGUGAAAUGCGUAGAUAUCUGGAGGAACACCGGUGGCGAAGGCGGCAUUCUGGACCGGUAUUGACGCUGAGGCGCGAAAGCCAGGGGAGCAA
rnacentral:rRNA from 1 species